rnacentral:rRNA from 1 species
UACGGGGGGAGCAAGCGUUGUUCGGAUUUACUGGGCGUAAAGGGCGCGUAGGCGGUCGUGACAAGUCACUUGUGAAAUCUCCGGGCUUAACUCGGAAAGGUCAAGUGAUACUGUCGGACUAGAGUACAGAAGGGGCAACUGGAAUUCUCGGUGUAGCGGUGAAAUGCGUAGAUAUCGAGAGGAACACCUGCGGCGAAGGCGGCGACCUGGGUAGAUACUGACGCUGAGGCGCGAAAGCGUGGGGAGCAAACAGG